rnacentral:rRNA from 1 species
UACGUAGGGUGCAAGCGUUAAUCGGAAUUACUGGGCGUAAAGCGUGCGCAGGCGGUUCGCUAAGACAGAUGUGAAAUCCCCGGGCUUAACCUGGGAACUGCAUUUGUGACUGGCGGGCUAGAGUAUGGCAGAGGGGGGUAGGAAUUCCACGUGUAGCAGUGAAAUGCGUAGAGAUGUGGAGGAAUACCGAUGGCGAAGGCAGCCCCCUGGGCCAAUACUGACGCUCAUGCACGAAAGCGUGGGGAG